rnacentral:rRNA from 1 species
CGCCGGCGACCGGCGCACGGGUGAGUAACACGUAUGCAACCUGGCCGUGACAGAUGGAUAACCGGGAGAAAUCCCGCCUAAUACAACAUAAUGCCGGGAGGGGACAUCCCCUGCCGGCCAAAGGGGGCGACCCCGGUCACGGAUGGGCAUGCGGCGCAUUAGGUAGUUGGUGGGGCAACGGCCCACCAAGCCGACGAUGCGUAGGGGUUCUGAGAGGAAGGUCCCCCACAUUGGAACUGAGACACGGUCCAAACUCCUACGGAAGGCAGCAG